GCCUCCGUAGCUCAGAGGAUAGAGCACCGGUUUCCUAAACCGGGUGUCACAGGUUCAAUUCCUGUCGGGGGCGCCA
rnacentral:tRNA from 1 species